GGGUUGUGAGGUUAAGCGACUAAGCGUACACGGUGGAUGCCCUGGCAGUCAGAGGCGAUGAAGGACGUGCUAAUCUGCGAUAAGCGUCGGUAAGGUGAUAUGAACCGUUAUAACCGGCGAUUUCCGAAUGGGGAAACCCAGUGUGAUUCGUCACACUAUCAUUAACUGAAUCCAUAGGUUAAUGAGGCGAACCGGGGGAACUGAAACAUCUAAGUACCCCGAGGAAAAGAAAUCAACCGAGAUUCCCCCAGUAGCGGCGAGCGAACGGGGAGCAGCCCAGAGCCUGAAUCAGUGUGUGUGUUAGUGGAAGCGUCUGGAAAGGCGCGCGAUACAGGGUGACAGCCCCGUACACAAAAAUGCACAUGCUGUGAGCUCGAUGAGUAGGGCGGGACACGUGGUAUCCUGUCUGAAUAUGGGGGGACCAUCCUCCAAGGCUAAAUACUCCUGACUGACCGAUAGUGAACCAGUACCGUGAGGGAAAGGCGAAAAGAACCCCGGCGAGGGGAGUGAAAAAGAACCUGAAACCGUGUACGUACAAGCAGUGGGAGCACGCUUAGGCGUGUGACUGCGUACCUUUUGUAUAAUGGGUCAGCGACUUAUAUUCUGUAGCAAGGUUAACCGAAUAGGGGAGCCGAAGGGAAACCGAGUCUUAACUGGGCGUUAAGUUGCAGGGUAUAGACCCGAAACCCGGUGAUCUAGCCAUGGGCAGGUUGAAGGUUGGGUAACACUAACUGGAGGACCGAACCGACUAAUGUUGAAAAAUUAGCGGAUGACUUGUGGCUGGGGGUGAAAGGCCAAUCAAACCGGGAGAUAGCUGGUUCUCCCCGAAAGCUAUUUAGGUAGCGCCUCGUGAAUUCAUCUCCGGGGGUAGAGCACUGUUUCGGCAAGGGGGUCAUCCCGACUUACCAACCCGAUGCAAACUGCGAAUACCGGAGAAUGUUAUCACGGGAGACACACGGCGGGUGCUAACGUCCGUCGUGAAGAGGGAAACAACCCAGACCGCCAGCUAAGGUCCCAAAGUCAUGGUUAAGUGGGAAACGAUGUGGGAAGGCCCAGACAGCCAGGAUGUUGGCUUAGAAGCAGCCAUCAUUUAAAGAAAGCGUAAUAGCUCACUGGUCGAGUCGGCCUGCGCGGAAGAUGUAACGGGGCUAAACCAUGCACCGAAGCUGCGGCAGCGACGCUUAUGCGUUGUUGGGUAGGGGAGCGUUCUGUAAGCCUGUGAAGGUGUGCUGUGAGGCAUGCUGGAGGUAUCAGAAGUGCGAAUGCUGACAUAAGUAACGAUAAAGCGGGUGAAAAGCCCGCUCGCCGGAAGACCAAGGGUUCCUGUCCAACGUUAAUCGGGGCAGGGUGAGUCGACCCCUAAGGCGAGGCCGAAAGGCGUAGUCGAUGGGAAACAGGUUAAUAUUCCUGUACUUGGUGUUACUGCGAAGGGGGGACGGAGAAGGCUAUGUUGGCCGGGCGACGGUUGUCCCGGUUUAAGCGUGUAGGCUGGUUUUCCAGGCAAAUCCGGAAAAUCAAGGCUGAGGCGUGAUGACGAGGCACUACGGUGCUGAAGCAACAAAUGCCCUGCUUCCAGGAAAAGCCUCUAAGCAUCAGGUAACAUCAAAUCGUACCCCAAACCGACACAGGUGGUCAGGUAGAGAAUACCAAGGCGCUUGAGAGAACUCGGGUGAAGGAACUAGGCAAAAUGGUGCCGUAACUUCGGGAGAAGGCACGCUGAUAUGUAGGUGAAGUCCCUUGCGGAUGGAGCUGAAAUCAGUCGAAGAUACCAGCUGGCUGCAACUGUUUAUUAAAAACACAGCACUGUGCAAACACGAAAGUGGACGUAUACGGUGUGACGCCUGCCCGGUGCCGGAAGGUUAAUUGAUGGGGUCAGCGCAAGCGAAGCUCUUGAUCGAAGCCCCGGUAAACGGCGGCCGUAACUAUAACGGUCCUAAGGUAGCGAAAUUCCUUGUCGGGUAAGUUCCGACCUGCACGAAUGGCGUAAUGAUGGCCAGGCUGUCUCCACCCGAGACUCAGUGAAAUUGAACUCGCUGUGAAGAUGCAGUGUACCCGCGGCAAGACGGAAAGACCCCGUGAACCUUUACUAUAGCUUGACACUGAACAUUGAGCCUUGAUGUGUAGGAUAGGUGGGAGGCUUGGAAGUGUGGACGCCAGUCUGCAUGGAGCCGACCUUGAAAUACCACCCUUUAAUGUUUGAUGUUCUAACGUUGACCCGUAAUCCGGGUUGCGGACAGUGUCUGGUGGGUAGUUUGACUGGGGCGGUCUCCUCCUAAAGAGUAACGGAGGAGCACGAAGGUUGGCUAAUCCUGGUCGGACAUCAGGAGGUUAGUGCAAUGGCAUAAGCCAGCUUGACUGCGAGCGUGACGGCGCGAGCAGGUGCGAAAGCAGGUCAUAGUGAUCCGGUGGUUCUGAAUGGAAGGGCCAUCGCUCAACGGAUAAAAGGUACUCCGGGGAUAACAGGCUGAUACCGCCCAAGAGUUCAUAUCGACGGCGGUGUUUGGCACCUCGAUGUCGGCUCAUCACAUCCUGGGGCUGAAGUAGGUCCCAAGGGUAUGGCUGUUCGCCAUUUAAAGUGGUACGCGAGCUGGGUUUAGAACGUCGUGAGACAGUUCGGUCCCUAUCUGCCGUGGGCGCUGGAGAACUGAGGGGGGCUGCUCCUAGUACGAGAGGACCGGAGUGGACGCAUCACUGGUGUUCGGGUUGUCAUGCCAAUGGCACUGCCCGGUAGCUAAAUGCGGAAGAGAUAAGUGCUGAAAGCAUCUAAGCACGAAACUUGCCCCGAGAUGAGUUCUCCCUGACUCCUUGAGAGUCCUGAAGGAACGUUGAAGACGACGACGUUGAUAGGCCGGGUGUGUAAGCGCAGCGAUGCGUUGAGCUAACCGGUACUAAUGAACCGUGAGGCUUAACCUUACAACGCCGAAGGUGUUU
rnacentral:rRNA from 1 species